rnacentral:rRNA from 1 species
CAGGCUUAACACAUGCAAGUCGAGGGGCAGCAUGGUCUUAGCUUGCUAAGGCCGAUGGCGACCGGCGCACGGGUGAGUAACACGUAUCCAACCUGCCGUCUACUCUUGGACAGCCUUCUGAAAGGAAGAUUAAUACAAGAUGGCAUCAUGAGUCCGCAUGUUCACAUGAUUAAAGGUAUUCCGGUAGACGAUGGGGAUGCGUUCCAUUAGAUAGUAGGCGGGGUAACGGCCCACCUAGUCUUCGAUGGAUAGGGGUUCUGAGAGGAAGGUCCCCCACAUUGGAACUGAGACACGGUCCAAACUCCUACGGGAGGCAGCAGUGAGGAAUAUUGGUCAAUGGGCGAGAGCCUGAACCAGCCAAGUAGCGUGAAGGAUGACUGCCCUAUGGGUUGUAAACUUCUUUUAUAAAGGAAUAAAGUCGGGUAUGGAUACCCGUUUGCAUGUACUUUAUGAAUAAGGAUCGGCUAACUCCGUGCCAGCAGCCGCGGUAAUACGGAGGAUCCGAGCGUUAUCCGGAUUUAUUGGGUUUAAAGGGAGCGUAGAUGGAUGUUUAAGUCAGUUGUGAAAGUUUGCGGCUCAACCGUAAAAUUGCAGUUGAUACUGGAUAUCUUGAGUGCAGUUGAGGCAGGCGGAAUUCGUGGUGUAGCGGUGAAAUGCUUAGAUAUCACGAAGAACUCCGAUUGCGAAGGCAGCCUGCUAAGCUGCAACUGACAUUGAGGCUCGAAAGUGUGGGUAUCAAACAGGAUUAGAUACCCUGGUAGUCCACACGGUAAACGAUGAAUACUCGCUGUUUGCGAUAUACUGCAAGCGGCCAAGCGAAAGCGUUAAGUAUUCCACCUGGGGAGUACGCCGGCAACGGUGAAACUCAAAGGAAUUGACGGGGGCCCGCACAAGCGGAGGAACAUGUGGUUUAAUUCGAUGAUACGCGAGGAACCUUACCCGGGCUUAAAUUGCAGAUGAAUUACGGUGAAAGCCGUAAGCCGCAAGGCAUCUGUGAAGGUGCUGCAUGGUUGUCGUCAGCUCGUGCCGUGAGGUGUCGGCUUAAGUGCCAUAACGAGCGCAACCCUUGUUGUCAGUUACUAACAGGUUCCGCUGAGGACUCUGACAAGACUGCCAUCGUAAGAUGUGAGGAAGGUGGGGAUGACGUCAAAUCAGCACGGCCCUUACGUCCGGGGCUACACACGUGUUACAAUGGGGGGUACAGAGGGCCGCUACCACGCGAGUGGAUGCCAAUCCCCAAAACCUCUCUCAGUUCGGACUGGAGUCUGCAACCCGACUCCACGAAGCUGGAUUCGCUAGUAAUCGCGCAUCAGCCACGGCGCGGUGAAUACGUUCCCGGGCCUUGUACACACCGCCCGUCAAGCCAUGGGAGCCGGGGGUACCUGAAGUGCGUAACCGCGAGGAGCGCCCUAGGGUAAAACUGGUGACUGGGGCUAAGUCAUAACAAG